rnacentral:rRNA from 1 species
UGGGGAAUAUUGCACAAUGGGCGCAAGCCUGAUGCAGCCAUGCCGCGUGUGUGAAGAAGGCCUUCGGGUUGUAAAGCACUUUCAGCGAGGAGGAAGGUGGUGAGCUUAAUACGCUCAUCAAUUGACGUUACUCGCAGAAGAAGCACCGGCUAACUCCGUGCCAGCAGCCGCGGUAAUACGGAGGGUGCAAGCGUUAAUCGGAAUUACUGGGCGUAAAGCGCACGCAGGCGGUUUGUUAAGUCAGAUGUGAAAUCCCCGGGCUCAACCUGGGAACUGCAUUUGAAACUGGCAAGCUAGAGUCUCGUAGAGGGGGGUAGAAUUCCAGGUGUAGCGGUGAAAUGCGUAGAGAUCUGGAGGAAUACCGGUGGCGAAGGCGGCCCCCCUGGACGAAGACUGACGCUCAGGUGCGAAAGCGUGGGGAGCAAAACAGGAUUAGAUACCCUGGUAGUCCACGCUGUAAACGAUGUCGAUUUGGAGGUUGUGCCCUUGAGGCGUGGCUUCCGG